GGACAUUACCAUGUACCUCCUGCUCGCUCCUCCUCUUUUAAAAGGGUGGCAUCGGUCCUGCUCCUCCUCCUUCAGGUGCUCCCUCUUCAGGAAACAGGGACUACCUGGCCUGCUUUCCUGCUGCCACUUUGUCAUCCUAAGUCCAACAUGGCAUUGAUCAUAGUCUGUCCUUACAGACUGAAACAAAGACUUGAGAAACAAGUGAG